rnacentral:rRNA from 1 species
CCUACGGGAGGCAGCAGUAGGGAAUCUUCCGCAAUGGACGAAAGUCUGACGGAGCAACGCCGCGUGAGCGAUGAAGGCCUUCGGGUCGUAAAGCUCUGUUGUUAGGGAAGAACAAGUGCUAGUUAAAUAAGCUGGCACCUUGACGGUACCUAACCAGAAAGCCACGGCUAACUACGUGCCAGCAGCCGCGGUAAUACGUAGGUGGCAAGCGUUGUCCGGAAUUAUUGGGCGUAAAGCGCGCGCAGGCGGUCCUUUAAGUCUGAUGUGAAAGCCCACGGCUCAACCGUGGAGGGUCAUUGGAAACUGGGGGACUGGAGUACAGGAGAGGAAAGUGGAAUUCCCAGUGUAGAGGUGAAAUUCAUAGAUAUUGGGAGGAACACCGGUAGCGAAGGCGGCUUUCUGGCCUGAUACUGACGCUGAGACGCGAAAGCGUGGGGAGCAAACAGGAUUAGAUACCCUGGUAGUCCACGCCGUAAACUAUGGGCACUAGGUGUAGGAAGUGUUGACCCUUUCUGUGCCGAAGCUAACGCAUUAAGUGCCCCGCCUGGGGAGUACGGUCGCAAGACUGAAACUCAAAGGGAAUUGACGG